AGCGCAGACGGUUAUUUAAGUCUGAAGUGAAAGCCCUCAGCUCAACUGAGGAAUGGCUUUGGAAACUGGAUGACUUGAGUGCAGUAGGGGAAAGUGGAACUCCAUGUGUAGCGGUGAAAUGCGUAGAUAUAUGGAAGAACACCAGUGGCGAAGGCGGCUUUCUGGACUGUAACUGACGUUGAGGCUCGAAAGUGUGGUAGCAAACA
rnacentral:rRNA from 1 species